GAUAAACGCUGGCGGCGUGCAUAACACAUGCAAGUCGAACGAUGAAGAUUAAAAGAUUUCUUAGGAAUGAACUUAAUUGGAGUAGUGGCGGACGGGGGAGUAACGCGUGAGUAACCUGCCUUGUACAAGGGGAUAGCCGAUGGAAACGACGAAUAAUACCCUAUGACAUCAAAUAAUAGCAUGAUAAUUUGAUCAAAGAUUUAUCGGUAUAAGAUGGACUCGCGUCUGAUUAGCUAGUUGGGAGAGUAAAAGCCAACCAGGGCAACGAUCAGUGUCCGGCUGGGGAGAGUCUCCGGCGGCAUGGGGACUGGGACACGGCCCAGCCGCCUGCAGGAGUCAGGAGUGGUGCAUUAUGCACAAUGGCGGGAACCCUCGAGCCGCGGCGCCGCGUGAUUUCGAACGGCUUCGGGUUGUAAUUAUCUAUUGUCUGGGCAGAAAAUGACAGUACCAUACUAAGAAGGACCGGCUAAUUACGUG
rnacentral:rRNA from 1 species